CUAAUCUAAGGUUUUGUGAUGGGCCUUCCCAGGUCCGACACUGUCCGUAUUAUUAGUAAAGUCACAAGCUCAGGCAGAACAGGGUUACAUGAUCUUGUCAUUCAAAUGUGCUUCCACUGUAGGUUUGAGGAAGAAUUCUCACAGCCUAACACAAACAAUAAUCUGGUCAAUAGUCGUACUUAAACAAGCUGAAAAUGUAUUGCUGGUAUUUUGGUGGCCCAAAUAUCAAACAUUUUCCAAGGCCCUAGUCACAUUCCUCCCUUCUCCAUGAGAAAAGUCCAAGAAAAAAAAAUAUGGCUUACUACCAACUCUUUAUCUAUACACAUGCCAAUAAAAGCUGAUGACUCAGCCGCUCCAGACAGAAAAUUGGCCAGAAAUAUAUACAGCAGGUUUGAACAUUCUGUCAGAUGAGGACUGCAACAGUACAUUGAUGUGCUUCUUGUCUGCAAUAUGAUCCAAUCAAUGCCUGGAUCUGCACGAUCUGGCCCAGUGCACAGGAUACCAAAUCAGGCAGAGAUCCACUCAUUUGGCUAGAGGAUCCCAGUAUCACCACUACACUUGUAAAGCUCAAGCAAAAGCACCACAACAUGGCAAGGAAUUGUUAAGAUUGUGUUCAAAUUCAACAACUUCAUGAGGAUGCACAGUUUGAGCAUGAACCAUAUAGAGGCAGAAGGAGAUAUGAUUUUACUACAGGUAUGGGAUGCGUUAUUCAGAAGCCCGCUAUUCAGAAAGCACCCAAUUAUGCGAAGGCCGUCUCCAAUGGACCCCAUUUUACCCAUAUUUUAAAAAGGAUUUCCCUUUUCUUUGUAAUGAUAAAGCAGUACCUUCUACUUGAUCCCAACUAAAGAUAAAAUGCAUCCUUAUUAGAAGCAAAACCAGUCCCAUACCUGUAUAUUUAAAGAAUGUUGAUCAUAGUAACUGGUGAAAUAGGGUUGGUCAUUUAUAUGUUUUUUAUACACACACCAACGCAUAGUUCUCUUUUUACUACUCUGUGAUAUGAUAUGCACCUAGCAAAAUGCCAACUUUUAUAUGUCGAGCUGUGUUAGGAGUAAAGAAACUAAGGUUUCCAAUCAUUGCGUGUCCUCAGCCUGCCAAGCUUUAUCCAACUCCACAUCAAAAGCUUUACAGAAGCAUAGAAACAAGAAUCACCACUGGAUUGAGAAAUAUCACCAAUGGUUUAAGGAAGAGGAACAGACCAAGUUGAACAGGAGGUUUAUUCAUAAGUUGGUGAGAUUGGUAUGUUUCAGUACAAAGGAGCAUUUAGCCUUUCUCCAUGAUCACAGGCAAUACUGUAGUUUGUUGACUACAGAUAUUGGUUAAAUGUUGAUACUGUACCUGACAAAUUCCUUGAGCAAUAAAUCUUAUUGUGAAAAAGACAAUACAACGUUUUCGACUGUAACAGGAGAUUUAUCUCUGCUAUUUAAAUAUUUGGCUCAACCUUACGUUAAAAAAAUACAUUAUAAAUAGAACACAUAACUGUUCAAUUCUGGCCUGCGGACACAAGAAAGAUUUCCUUUGUACAAAUCAAAAAUUUGAUAAAAAUUGAUGGCUUAAUGUGGGAAUAAAUCUUAAUUGUGUAGCUCACCUCAAACCUUUGGUAUGCUUCGUUCUGCCUUUCUUUGAACAGCUUUGGACUGAAGGGUUGUUGGCUGCGGGUGUGCUUCUCUUUCCAAAACCAUUCCUAUUUCCCACCCAAAA